rnacentral:rRNA from 1 species
GAUGAACGCUGGCGGCGUGCCUAAUACAUGCAAGUCGAGCGAACAGACGAGGAGCUUGCUCCUCUGACGUUAGCGGCGGACGGGUGAGUAACACGUGGAUAACCUACCUAUAAGACUGGGAUAACUUCGGGAAACCGGAGCUAAUACCGGAUAAUAUAUUGAACCGCAUGGUUCAAUAGUGAAAGACGGUUUUGCUGUCACUUAUAGAUGGAUCCGCGCCGCAUUAGCUAGUUGGUAAGGUAACGGCUUACCAAGGCAACGAUGCGUAGCCGACCUGAGAGGGUGAUCGGCCCCACUGGAACUGAGCCACGGUCCAGACUCCUACGGGAGGCAGCAGUAGGGAAUCUUCCGCAAUGGGCGAAAGCCUGCCGGAGCAACGCCGCGUGAGUGAUGAAGGUCUUCGGAUCGUAAAACUCUGUUAUUCGGGAAGAACAAAUGUGUAAGUAACUAUGCACGUCUUGACGGUACCUAAUCAGAAAGCCACGGCUAACUACGUG